rnacentral:rRNA from 1 species
GUCGAACGAUGAAGCCCUUCGGGGUGGAUUAGUGGCGAACGGGUGAGUAACACGUGGGCAAUCUGCCCUUCACUCUGGGACAAGCCCUGGAAACGGGGUCUAAUACCGGAUAACACUCCUGCCUGCAUGGGCGGGGGUUAAAAGCUCCGGCGGUGAAGGAUGAGCCCGCGGCCUAUCAGCUUGUUGGUGGGGUAAUGGCCCACCAAGGCGACGACGGGUAGCCGGCCUGAGAGGGCGACCGGCCACACUGGGACUGAGACACGGCCCAGACUCCUACGGGAGGCAGCAGUGGGGAAUAUUGCACAAUGGGCGAAAGCCUGAUGCAGCGACGCCGCGUGAGGGAUGACGGCCUUCGGGUUGUAAACCUCUUUCAGCAGGGAAGAAGCGAAAGUGACGGUACCUGCAGAAGAAGCGCCGGCUAACUACGUGCCAGCAGCCGCGGUAAUACGUAGGGCGCAAGCGUUGUCCGGAAUUAUUGGGCGUAAAGAGCUCGUAGGCGGCUUGUCACGUCGGAUGUGAAAGCCCGAGGCUUAACCUCGGGUCUGCAUUCGAUACGGGCUAGCUAGAGUGUGGUAGGGGAGAUCGGAAUUCCUGGUGUAGCGGUGAAAUGCGCAGAUAUCAGGAGGAACACCGGUGGCGAAGGCGGAUCUCUGGGCCAUUACUGACGCUGAGGAGCGAAAGCGUGGGGAGCGAACAGGAUUAGAUACCCUGGUAGUCCACGCCGUAAACGUUGGGAACUAGGUGUUGGCGACAUUCCACGUCGUCGGUGCCGCAGCUAACGCAUUAAGUUCCCCGCCUGGGGAGUACGGCCGCAAGGCUAAACUCAAUA